rnacentral:rRNA from 1 species
GCCGGGUGCUUGCACCUGGUGGAUGAGUGGCGAACGGGUGAGUAACACGUGAGUAACCUGCCCCUGAUUUCGGGAUAAGCCUGGGAAACUGGGUCUAAUACCGGAUACGACCUGCCCUCGCAUGAGGGUUGGUGGAAAGUUUUUCGAUCGGGGAUGGGCUCGCGGCCUAUCAGCUUGUUGGUGGGGUAAUGGCCUACCAAGGCGACGACGGGUAGCCGGCCUGAGAGGGCGACCGGCCACACUGGGACUGAGACACGGCCCAGACUCCUACGGGAGGCAGCAGUGGGGAAUAUUGCACAAUGGGGGAAACCCUGAUGCAGCGACGCAGCGUGCGGGAUGACGGCCUUCGGGUUGUAAACCGCUUUCAGCAGGGAAGAAGCCGUAAGGUGACGGUACCUGCAGAAGAAGUACCGGCUAACUACGUGCCAGCAGCCGCGGUAAUACGUAGGGUACGAGCGUUGUCCGGAAUUAUUGGGCGUAAAGAGCUCGUAGGUGGUUGGUCACGUCUGCUGUGGAAACGCAACGCUUAACGUUGCGCGUGCAGUGGGUACGGGCUGACUAGAGUGCAGUAGGGGAGUCUGGAAUUCCUGGUGUAGCGGUGAAAUGCGCAGAUAUCAGGAGGAACACCGGUGGCGAAGGCGGGACUCUGGGCUGUAACUGACACUGAGGAGCGAAAGCAUGGGGAGCGAACAGGAUUAGAUACCCUGGUAGUCCAUGCCGUAAACGUUGGGCACUAGGUGUGGGGGACAUUCCACGUUCUCCGCGCCGUA